AGCGGCUCCGGCCCCACGGGCAGCUGGGGAGGCCGCACUGAAGGGCCUUUGUCCGGUGGCGGCGGGGAUGCGGCCGGGAGGGCAGGAUCUGUCCGGGGUAGGGCAGGAUUUGUCCCGGGUAGGACAGGGUUUAUCCCGGGUAGGACAGGAUUUGUCCCGGGGAGGGCAGGAUUUGUCCCGGGUAGGGCAGGAUUUAUCCCGGGGAGGACAGGAUCUGUCCCAGGGAGGGCAGGAUUUAUCCCGGGUAGGACAGGAUUUAUCCUGGAGCGGGCAGGAUUUGUCCCGGGGAGGGCAGGAUUUAUCUGGAAAAUGCAGGAUUUAUCGGGGAGGGUAAGAUUUGUCCCAGAUCGGGAAGGAAUGGGGGGGAUUUGAUGGAUUUGGGAGGAUUUUGCGGGAUUUUGGGGGUCCCCAGCCCCUGUCCCCCGCUUUCUCCCCCCUCCAGGACAUCAAACCCGAGCCCAGCUCGGAAGGAAAUGAAAAACCGCAAUCCCAGAGCUGGGCCGGGCAGGGUCAGAGGCUCAGGAUUCAUUAAGUCAUUAACUCCCUUUUAAUUGCAGCCCUUGCUGGGGACGCCGCUUCACCUGCGCGGGGACAGCGGCAGCCGCGGGGGUGGCACGGGCUCCUCCCGCCGUGUCCCCGCGCCCCGGGAAUGUCCCCAACCUGCCGGGAUCGCCUUUGGGUGCCCAGAGCCCUUCGCAAAUCCCCUGCGAGCCCGAGGAGGAGGAGGAUGGGGAAAGCUGACAAUUCCCAGCUCCCGGAGCCUUCCCGGAUAACGCGGCCGGUUCCAGCCGGCGGAUGAAAUUCCUUUAAGGGCCGGUAGCCACCGGGGAACGGCGACAAGCCCCGGGGAGCGGCGGGGACCCCGGACCGGCAGGACCGUCCCGUCCCGUCCCGUCCCGUCCCGUCCCGUUCCCCCCGCGGCUCUGCGGGCACCGCCCAGCCCGGCACGGGGGGCUCAGCUCGGGGCUGCCCCACUCAGGGUCCCUCCCCGGUGGCAUCGGGGACAAUCCCUCCGCCAUCUGCCAUCCCCAAACCGGGGGUCCCGGUGCCACCCGGGGGGGGGGGGAGGGAUUUUUGGCUUCCCCGGGGCGAGGCGGGUGGUGCUGUCUGAGCGGAAGACAGGCUGGGUUUUAAAGCAGAUUAAUUGAGCUGCACUGCGGACAGAGUUCAGAAUGCAAACAGCCCUAAUUCGAUUUCUCUGACUUGCAAAUCGCGGCAGGGAACUCGGCCGAAAUCACAUUAAGGCCGUUUCCACUCCGAGCCGUGUCCUCGCAGGGCUUUAAUGCAGUUUCACUAAUUGGA